rnacentral:rRNA from 1 species
UACGAAGGGGGCUAGCGUUGCUCGGAAUCACUGGGCGUAAAGGGUGCGUAGGCGGGUUUUUAAGUCAGGGGUGAAAUCCUGGAGCUCAACUCCAGAACUGCCUUUGAUACUGAAGAUCUUGAGUCCGGGAGAGGUGAGUGGAACUGCGAGUGUAGAGGUGAAAUUCGUAGAUAUUCGCAAGAACACCAGUGGCGAAGGCGGCUCACUGGCCCGGUACUGACGCUGAGGCGCGAAAGCGUGGGGAGCAAACGGG